GACGAACGCUGGCGGCGCGCUUAACACAUGCAAGUCGAGCGAAGCUGCGGACGGGUGAGUAACACGUGAGUAACCUACCUCUGAUAUUGGGAUAGCCUCGGGAAACCGGAAUUAAUAACAAAUGGUCUAAGACGGUCGCGGGUCCCAUUAGUUAGUUGGUGAGGUAACGGCCCACCCAGGCGACGGUGGGUAGCCGGCCUGAGAGGGUGAACGGCCACAUUGGAACUGAGAAGCGGUCCAAACGCUACGGGAGGCAGCAGUGGGGAAUAUUGCACAAUGGAGGGAACUCUGAUGCAGCGACGCCGCGUGAACGGAGAAGGCUUUCGAGUCGUAAAGUUCUUUUAUAUGGGAAGCGGUACCAUAAGAAAAAGCCCCGGCUAACUACGUGCCAGCAGCCGCGGUAAUUC
rnacentral:rRNA from 1 species